GACGAACGCUGGCGGCGUGCUUAACACAUGCAAGUCGAACGGUAAGGCCCUUCGGGGUACACGAGUGGCGAACGGGUGAGUAACACGUGGGUGAUCUGCCCUGCACUUCGGGAUAAGCCUGGGAAACUGGGUCUAAUACCGGAUAGGACCACUGCAUGCAUGGGGGGUGGUGGAGAGCUUUUGCGGGGUGGGGUGGGCCCGCGGCCUAUCAGCUUGUUGGUGGGGUGAUGGCCUACCAAGGCGACGACGGGUAGCCGGCCUGAGAGGGUGACCGGCCACACUGGACUGAGAUACGGCCCAGACUCCUACGGGAGGCAGCAGUGGGGAAUAUUGCACAAUGGGCGCAAGCCUGAUGCAGCGACGCCGCGUGAGGGAUGACGGCCUUCGGGUUGUAAACCUCUUUCAGCACCGACGAAGCGCAAGUGACGGUAGGUGCAGAAGAAGGACCGGCCAACUACGUGCCAGCAGCCGCCGUAA
rnacentral:rRNA from 1 species